UUGGUUUGUUGAAAAUUGUGAGAGUUUCUUCAAUUUCUUCAAUCCACCACAAGUUCCUGAAGAUGAUGAAGAUAUUGAUGAAGAUAUGGCCGAGGAACUUCAGAAUCAGAUGGAGCAAGACUAUGACAUUGGGUGA